AACGCUAGCUACAGGCUUAACACAUGCAAGUCGAGGGGAAACGACAUCGAAAGCUUGCUUUUGAUGGGCGUCGACCGGCGCACGGGUGAGUAACGCGUAUCCAACCUGCCCAUCACUUGGGGAUAACCUUGCGAAAGUAAGACUAAUACCCAAUGACGUCUCUAGAAGACAUCUGAAAGAGAUUAAAGAUUUAUCGGUGAUGGAUGGGGAUGCGUCUGAUUAGCUUGUUGGCGGGGUAACGGCCCACCAAGGCGACGAUCAGUAGGGGUUCUGAGAGGAAGGUCCCCCACAUUGGAACUGAGACACGGUCCAAACUCCUACGGGAGGCAGCAGUGAGGAAUAUUGGUCAAUGGACGAGAGUCUGAACCAGCCAAGUAGCGUGCAGGAUGACGGCCCUAUGGGUUGUAAACUGCUUUUAUAAGGGAAUAAAGUGAGUCUCGUGAGACUUUUUGCAUGUACCUUAUGAAUAAGGACCGGCUAAUUCCGUGCCAGCAGCCGCGGUAAUACGGAAGGUCCGGGCGUUAUCCGGAUUUAUUGGGUUUAAAGGGAGCGUAGGCCGGAGAUUAAGCGUGUUGUGAAAUGUAGACGCUCAACGUCUGCACUGCAGCGCGAACUGGUUUCCUUGAGUACGCACAAAGUGGGCGGAAUUCGUGGUGUAGCGGUGAAAUGCUUAGAUAUCACGAAGAACUCCGAUUG
rnacentral:rRNA from 1 species